AUUGAACGCUGGCGGCAGGCCUAACACAUGCAAGUCGAACGAGUGGCGGACGGGUGAGUAAUGUCUGGGAAACUGCCUGAUGGAGGGGGAUAACUACUGGAAACGGUAGCUAAUACUGCAUACCAUCAGAUGUGCCCAGAUGGGAUUAGCGAGUUGGUGGGGUAACGGCUCACCAAGGCGACGAUCCAUAGCUGGUCUGAGAGGAUGACCAGCCACACUGGAACUGUGACACGGUACAGACUCCUACGGGAGGCAGCAGUGGGGAAUAUUGCGCAAUGGGCGCAAGCCUGAUGCAGCCAGGCCGCUUGUAUGAAGAAUGCCUUCGGGUUGUAAAGUACUUUCAGCGGGGAGGCGUUACCCGCAGAAGAAGCACCGGCUAACUCCGUGCCAGCAGCCGCGGUAAUUC
rnacentral:rRNA from 1 species